rnacentral:rRNA from 1 species
GACGGACGCUGGCGGCGUGCCUAAUACAUGCAAGUAGAACGCUGAAGAGAGGAGCUUGCUCUUCUUGGAUGAGUUGCGAACGGGUGAGUAACGCGUAGGUAACCCGCCUUGUAGCGGGGGAUAACUAUUGGAAACGAUAGCUAAUACCGCAUAACAAUGGAUGACACAUGUCAUUUAUUUGAAAGGGGCAAUUGCUCCACUACAAGAUGGACCUGCGUUGUAUUAGCUAGUAGGUGAGGUAAUGGCUCACCUAGGCGACGAUACAUAGCCGACCUGAGAGGGUGAUCGGCCACACUGGGACUGAGACACGGCCCAGACUCCUACGGGAGGCAGCAGUAGGGAAUCUUCGGCAAUGGGGGCAACCCUGACCGAGCAACGCCGCGGGAGUGAAGAAGGUUUUCGGAUCGUAAAGCUCUGUUGUAAGUCAAGAACGGGUGUGAGAGUGGAAAGUUCACACUGUGACGGUAGCUUACCAGAAAGGGACGGCUAACUACGUG